rnacentral:rRNA from 1 species
GAUCCUGGCUCAGGAUGAACGCUGGCGGCGUGCUUAACACAUGCAAGUCGAACGAAGCAUUCGCGACAGAUUUUUUCGGAAUGAAGUUGCUUAUGACUGAGUGGCGGACGGGUGAGUAACGCGUGGGUAACCUGCCUUGUACUGGGGGAUAGCAAGCUGGAAACGGCUGGUAAUACCGCAUAAGCGCACAAUGUUGCAUGACAUGGUGUGAAAAACUCCGGUGGUAUAAGAUGG